AGCCAGAGCAGGGUUUGUUUUUGCUGUGAGUGUCCCAGAACUUUGUGUGUCCCAGGGUGUCCUGGCAGGGCUCAGCCCCACAUGGUGACACGGGUGGCACUGGGUGCUGCCCUUGCUGAGGUGAGGGAGCAGCAGGUGGCUGGACCAAGAGGUGAUUCUGCAGGAUGGUGAGAGCUGCUCUUGCAGUUUGGUAAUUCCUGUGUGGUCUUUUUGGGGUAUCACAGAAUCAUAGAAGGGUUUGGGAGUAUAGAGACCAUCUCCUUCCACCCCCAGCCAUGGGCAGGGACACCUUCCACUAUCCCAGGUUGCCCCAAGCCCAGUCCAACCUGGCUUUGAAUAUGUCCACAGUUUAUCUGGGUGCCCUGUGCCAGGGCCUCCCCACCCUCCCUAAUUCCCUAAUACCCCAUCUAACCUUUCCCUGUGCCUGUUGAAGCCCUUCCCCUUUAUCCUGGCACUCCAUGCUCUUGUAAAAAGUCCCCCUCCAGCUUUCCUGUGGGUUAUAGAAAGCAGUUGUGCCUAUUUGGAUAGUGAAUGUGAAUAAAAUUGAUUUUUCAAAGCUGA